AAACCAAGAGGAUUAAGUUAUACGGUUUUCGGUUAAAAGAUAGUUAAGUAGUACUGAAAGUUUAUUUAAUUGUUAUUUAGAAGUAAAAUUCGCAAAUAAUUUAGAGUUUUUGUUAUGGCUUGUAAGCUGAAGCUAUGAUACCCCUGAGGGAAACUGGGAUUAGAUACCCCAUUAUUCCUGGAAGUAAAUGAAUAGAAAUUUACCAGAGUACUACGGAUUAAGUGCAUUUAAAACUCAAAGAGCUUGGCGGUGUUUUAGACUUUUCAGGGGAACCUGUCUCAUAAUCGACAAUCCACGAUAUACCCGACCUUUAUUUGCUUUCAAUUUGUAUACCGUCGUCGGCAGGUAACUUUUUAGAAGAAAGAAGUUAGCAACAGGAUUAUCUAAUAAAUCCUUACGUCAGAUCAAGGUGCAGUCAAUAUAGAGGAGAGGAUGGGUUACAAUUAUUAAAAACAUAAAUACGAAGCAACAACUUGAAACAUGGUUGCGAAGGAGGACUUGAAAGUAAAAUAGAUUAUAUAAAUAUUUUGAAUCAAGCUCUGAAACGUGC
rnacentral:rRNA from 1 species